rnacentral:rRNA from 1 species
CGGCGGACGGGUGAGUAACACGUGGAUAACCUACCUAUAAGACUGGGAUAACUUCGGGAAACCGGAGCUAAUACCGGAUAAUAUAUUGAACCGCAUGGUUCAAUAGUGAAAGACGGUUUUGCUGUCACUUACAGAUGGAUCCGCGCCGCAUUAGCUAGUUGGUAAGGUAACGGCUUACCAAGGCAACGAUGCGUAGCCGACCUGAGAGGGUGAUCGGCCACACUGGAACUGAGACACGGUCCAG